UAGCAGCACGUAUCUCUGAGGGCUGUUGUGAACAGCCAGUGAGCUAAAGCCAAGGGCAAGGCCUGGAACUCCAGGUUCCAGCUCCCAGGUCGAGUGGCUGCUAAAUGCCUCUGGAACAGGACCUAAGAAUCACCCCAGACCCAGGGGGAGGAAGGAGAGUGACCAAAACUCUACAGAAGCAGCACUACCACCAGCCUGUCCCCCGGGUUCCCCUGCACGGAAGACACAUCCUGAACCAACACUGUCCCAAUAUCAGGGAAACCAGCUUCUUUUCAUUUCAUCAACAAAACUGGACACGGAUCAAUUUCAACUGACCUUUGCCGAAAGGUGGCGCUGUUGAGGUAAAAACCAAGUCGGUCCAACAAUAGUUUUCACUCUUCGAUCGUUUUGCAGGCUUUUCAGAAUUUUUUUUUUUUUUAAUGCACCCUCCUAGCGUCCCCCCCUCCCAUAAAAUAAGAUAAAUAUGAUUAACACCAAAUGCAUUUCAUUAACUGAAGGAAUCAACAGUCCAACAUCCAAGCGGGCGGGCUGGUCUUCCAAACGCUGGGUCGGCUUCACGCACUCUUGCUUUCCCCCAAGUCAAUCUCGGCUUCUCCAUCUGGUCUAUCGCUUUAAAAUCUUAGAAACAGAGUUGUUGGUUCUUUUUUCUUUUCUUUCUCUUU